rnacentral:misc_RNA from 1 species
UCGCCAUCAAUUAUCACAUCAUCUUUUAACUUUUGUAUCAGUCAAAAGAACAUAACAUAUAUACUAUUAAAUCGAUUUACACACCCAAGCAAGAAGAUCUGAACUAUGCUGCAAACCACUAAAACAGCUGGAAACUUUGAGAACUAAGCAACACCUUCGAAGAGAACAGAAAACUCACUACAACAUAAAUCAACCAUAAAUAUGCCACUGACUUACAACUUGAG